GACGAACGCUGGCGGCGUGCUUAACACAUGCAAGUCGAACGGAAAGGCCCUGCUUUUGUGGGGUGCUCGAGUGGCGAACGGGUGAGUAACACGUGAGUAACCUGCCCUUGACUUUGGGAUAACUUCAGGAAACUUGGGCUAAUACCGGAUAGGAGCUCCUGCUGCAUGGUGGGGGUUGGAAAGUUUCGGCGGUUGGGGAUGGACUCGCGGCUUAUCAGCUUGUUGGUGGGGUAGUGGCUUACCAAGGCUUUGACGGGUAGCCGGCCUGAGAGGGUGACCGGCCACAUUGGGACUGAGAUACGGCCCAGACUCCUACGGGAGGCAGAAGUGGGGAAUAUUGCACAAUGGGCGGAAGCCUGAUGCAGCAAAGCAGCGUGCGGGAUGACGGCCUUCGGGUUGUAAACCGCUUUCGCCUGUGACGAAGCGUGAGUGACGGUAAUGGGUAAAGAAGCACCGGCUAACUACGUG
rnacentral:rRNA from 1 species